AUUGAACGCUUGCGGCAGGCCUAACACAUGCAAGUCGAGCGGAUGAGUGGAGCUUGCUCCAUGAUUCAGCGGCGGACGGGUGAGUAAUGCCUAGGAAUCUGCCUGGUAGUGGGGGACAACGUUUCGAAAGGAACGCUAAUACCGCAUACGUCCUACGGGAGAAAGCAGGGGACCUUCGGGCCUUGCGCUAUCAGAUGAGCCUAGGUCGGAUUAGCUAGUAGGUGAGGUAAAGGCUCACCUAGGCGACGAUCCGUAACUGGUCUGAGAGGAUGAUCAGUCACACUGGAACUGAGACACGGUCCAGACUCCUACGGGAGGCAGCAGUGGGGAGUAUUGGACAAUGGGCGAAAGCCUGAUCCAGCCAUGCCGCGUGUGUGAAGAAGGUCUUCGGAUUGUAAAGCACUUUAAGUUGGGAGGAAGGGCAGUAAGCUAAUACCUUGCUGUUUUGACGUUACCAACAGAAUAAGCACCGGCUAACUUCGUGCCAGCAGCCGCCGUAAUAC
rnacentral:rRNA from 1 species